UAUUAUAGUGGAUUACACGUGCAAUUUCUUCUCGGUUGUUUCUUUGCUUGCUGGGACACUACGUGUUACCACCUCAACAACCCACCGCCCCAUUGACCCUUAUGUGGAUGCUUCGCUUCUCCCCAGAAACAUCUAUCUCUCUCUAAAGUCAUCUUCCCACGCUUCCAACUUCUUUCCCAUCCCUUAUUCCCCUCUUCCACACCGCCUCUUUUACACUACCACCUCAACCGAUCAGCAACGAUUCGCGGUCGACGUCCCAUCGGCAGAGACGAGGCAGACGAUCGCCCCACCCCGACGCCUGCUUACAAAGGUGGAGAAGAGGACGCCACCAACGCCACUGCCUCCAUCGUCGUUGCCAUCAUCCUAAUUCAUGAGCCCUAAUUUCCCCCAUAUCAGAGGUAAUUGAUAUUCAUUACAGAUUUUUUGUAGCUCACAUCCAUCUUCUUGCUGUUUCUUCUCCGAGCAGGUGAUAAUCGUGCUUCAGCCCAAUAUUAGAGUGCCUCACGGAUUCCUCAGAUGAGAUAAGUUAUUUAGAUUUACCGUAGACCAACCCACCGUCGCUCUCCGCCACCGAUUUUCCCUAUAGAAGCUCACUCGCCACUAUCGCUAUGCAACACCGGUUUCUUUCUUUGAUCAAAUCUCAUAAACCAAUGUUUCAUUUUUUUUUUAUCGCCCCACCCACACACCAUCAUCUACUGAUUGAAUCGUCUCUCUGCCGCCACCAUCACUUCGUUUUCUUUUGUUCGUUUCCGACUUCUUGGGGUUUAUCCUUCUGCCUUGUCGUCAGGUGAGGGUUUACCGAUUAAUUUCACCGUCUGUUUUUCGUUUCCAUGCACCACCUGUGUCCACGUUCCCGAAGGCACCCCUCUCUUUCAAGAGGAUUCGCUGCAUGUCAAGCCCAGGUACACCUUUGCCAAACGUUACUUUUUGGAGCUAGCUUUUGACUGAUACUAUUAAGGGAGAAGGAAUUGGAGAUGCUUAUGGCUAUGAAAUAUGGAAACUAGCACUUAGAAGAAACAAGUGGAACUUACAUGGAUAAGUUUUCAAGGUGGAGAAGAUGAAAGAAAUCACAAAACAAAAAGCUAAAGAGGAGAGAAAGAGAUUAGAAUCAAAGGUAAUAAUAAAGAAAGAAUCUUGAAAUUAUAAAAUUUUCAUUCAUUAUAAAUAAAAAUUUAAAUCAAAUUUGCACUAUAAAUGGAGUUACUAAAAGUAAACUUAUGGUUGGAGAUGAUUUUAGUUGUUCCGUUAACCUUCAUUACCUAACAAGGGUUUUCCCAAAAUAUAAUCUGCCAUUUUUUUGGACCAAAACUUCCAAAUUAAACAGUUUUUAUUUUUUCUUAGAGCACCUACUAAUCUUGCUAAUAUUAAGCGACUGCAGGUGCAAUCAAGUGAGUGCAGUUCCUGUGUGGCUGUCUUUCUUAAUGCAAUAUUAGUCAUUCCCAACUUUCAUUUUCAUAGCAUUUGGAGAGAUGCCAGGUUUUUCAAAGCGUAUUCUUUUGUGAAUAAAUUACAAAAAUACCCUCUACUAUAUAUCUAUAAGAAACUAUAAGUUAUAUCCUGACAAACCCUAUAUAAAUUAUAACAUAAUAGGAGAAGUUAUUUAUGGAUUUGGUAUCUGUUAUUAGUUGGAUUAUUUGUUCUCCUACUGAUGUAUUUAUAACUUUGUUUAUAGUUGGAGACUUUUAACUUACAGGUCGGUUUAUGCUUUGGAACCAAACAAAGAUGUAUGAUUGCUCACGUUUGUAUCUCUAACAACAGUGGGUAAUAACUUGCUGCGGUGGAGCCUUUGGACGAGGAAAACAUUAGAUGGAUCAAAGAUAUGGCAACCCCUGAUCUUAGGAAAUGACGCAUGGUUGGCAGUUAGUUUGAUCUUUAUGCUGAUAUGCUCACAAAUCGGCUUCUAACAUUGGUUUGGUGCAACAAAAAUGGUGGGUGAGCAACUGACUACAACAAAAAUGCCAGAGCAUUAGGUGAAAAAUAGAGGCAAUUGCACUUUCAUCUUUUUGAAGAAAACCCCAAAUAUAUCAUUGCACUUACAUUGUUUUUUUAAAAUCUACUAACUGUAUCACAAUUUAUUUUUUAUUUUUUUUGAAAAUCUCUUAGUGCAAAAUUUCACUCUCAUUUUUUUUAAAAAAAAUAGGUAAUUAUAUCAUUGCAAUUCCAUUUUCUAAAAACCACCCAAAGAUAGCGUUGUACUUCCAUAUUUAGAAAAAUCUAUCAAAUAAUAGCAACAUCAUCUAUCUAUAAGUCAUUUUUCAUUGUUAUGGUUGGGCGAAGAUUAGAAAGUAUUACAUUUUGAUAAAUUUUUUUUGGAAGUACAACAUUAUAUUUUAUUGGGUAUGAAGGUCAUUCUCAUUGUAUCUGACCAAUCCAUUAGUUAAAUUAUGCUUUUUCAACCAAAAGAUAAGAAUAUUCAAUGCGAUCUAAAGCGUACAAAAUCGCUUGAGGCAUUGAUUUAUGUGGCGUUUCAGGAAAGAUGGCACUGGAGAAAUCACAGUUAUAGAUCCUAAGUUCAUUGAGUGGCUAAAUCAAAAAAAUGGUGAAUGAACUUUAUCGGUGACUUUUGUUUGUUGUUUCAGAUCAUUAGUAUAAAUCCAUCGAUGCCUAUAGCAUCAAUUUACAACCAUUGUCAUAGCUUUAUAGCAUAGCUUCUAUUUUUAUGUAAAGAAAUGUAAGUAUAUUGUUAUUACGAGAAAAGUAUUGUAAGGAUGUUGCAUUUAUGUUUAUAGAAAUGUAACAACAUUGUUACUAUAGGUAAAGAAAUGCAAAAAAAAUCUGACCCGUGCAACGCACGGGAUACUUUACUAGUUAUGUAAUUUAUAGUAUAAGAUUGAGAGAUGGGCAGAUGGCCUUAGAAUA